AUGGUUCAAAUUCCUUCAAAGUUUACAGGUGAAGCCAUAUUCUGUGACGCAGCUUGGAAGUUGCAGCAAGGUAUGCUCUCAUCUCCAGCAGGCAUAGGCAUCUACAUUCGAAUGGAGCAUAACCAGCAUUGCAAGCAGACAUAUGAUUCGGCGAUGUCUCCCCCGGCGUUGUCGCCACUUCAGGCUGAAACUUUUGGACUUCUUCUCGCCACCAAGAUUGCUGACAUACUUCAACUUCAAGAACCUCGCUUCUACACAGAUAACUCUGUUUUGGCAUCUGCAUCUGCCGCAACUAACAUUGUAGCUGCUUCAGGUCACUGGAUGAUUAGGCCCCACAUUGCAGCUAUUCAAUCUAGCAAGUCCUUCCAGGCAAACAUGAUCAAUCAUUUGCCAAGGAGCUCCAAUGUAAAAGCCCAUCAUGAGGCUCAUUUAGCAAUUAAGAUUCAGAACAGAUCUUUAGUAUUCAGGUGUUUAUGUUCAAAUGCAGGUCAAUGUCCAGUUAGGGACAUACUUUCUGUUCAUAGCAUGAAUCCAUUCAUGCUCCUCUCUGUAAAAUGUGCUUAA
rnacentral:rRNA from 1 species